rnacentral:rRNA from 1 species
CCUACCGGAGGCAGCAGUGGGGAAUAUUGCACAAUGGGGGAAACCCUGAUGCAGCGACGCCGCGUGAAGGAAGAGGUAUUUCGGUAUGUAAACUUCUAUCAGCAGGGAAGAAAAUGACGGUACCUGACUAAGAAGCCCCGGCUAACUACGUGCCAGCAGCCGCGGUAAUACGUAGGGGGCAAGCGUUAUCCGGAUUUACUGGGUGUAAAGGGAGCGUAGGCGGUAAUGCAAGUCAGAAGUGAAAGCCCGGGGCUCAACUCCGGGACUGCUUUUGAAACUGUCGUUCUUGGGUGAUGGAGAGGCAG